AAACCAUGGUGAGGGCACCUUCUCAAUAGAUCCUUGUAUCUCUCCUAUGCAUCGUAAAGUGUUUCUAGGUCCAUCUGCACAAAGAAGAAAUACCAUUGCGUAAUUU
rnacentral:snoRNA from 1 species